UGCUUUCAUCACAAACCUCGAUGUAAACUAGGAGGAAGAACUUCAUUGAAGAAGCUACUAAACAUUCUCCGACACUAGCUAGAUUGGGGUUCUUGCUGCUCUUGGUUCUUGUUAACAGUGUUUGAUUGCACAUCUGUGGAUGGUGAUACAGUUAUUUCUAACUCCACAGGUAAACAUUCUUUCGUUGAGAGAAUAUAUGGACAGAAACUGCCAAACAAUGCCAUUGUAGCUGCGACAUGUUUCGCGGUUUGUCCAAUCAAGAAGAAUAUUCCUCCGGACACAUUCAGAGACCACCCGGUUUUGCCAGUGGUCCCCCAAACGGUCCUCGCUUUAAUACUGGAUAUGGAGCCCCGUACCAACCACCUUAUCAUGGCCAACCGGGUCUCACUUACCGGGGUGCUCCGCCUGGCCACCCAAUUGGACAUCCACCCAUUAGACCUCCAUUCAUGGAUGCACGGCCUUUCAGCGGUAUGUCUGUUGACCACAGUAUGGUGAUUACUGUUGGUAGUCAGCACAACAUUACGCCUGUCCAAAGCCAUAACUUGCCCCUGCAGACCCGCAGCUGGGAUGAGAGUGAGAAAGCAGGGGAGGAGUUUCUCAGAAGUUUGGCUGCCAAGGACCAACCAUUGAAGCCCAAUGGGAGAGAUGGAGAAGAGAUGGAGACCUGGGGGCACUACAAGAAGACUUCGGAACGAGGGAAGAGCAGGAGUCAGAGUCCUUCCCGUAAACAGAGAGGACACAGUCGCAGCCGCAGCAGGGGCAAGAGCAGAGCGCGCAGCCGCGGCAAAAGCCGGGCCCGUAGUAAGAGCAGAGCGCGUAGUAAGAGCAGAGCCCGUAGUAAGAGCCGGGCCCCUAGCAAGAGCAGAGCGCGUAGCAAGAGCAGAGCGCGUAGUAAGAGCAGAGCCCGUAGUAAGAGCAGAGCGCGGAGCAAGAGCCGGAUGAGAAGCCGCAGCCGCAGCAGGGCGAAGAGUCGGGCCAGAAGUAGGGCUCGGAGUAAGAGUCGGCCCAGGAGCCGGAGCCGGAGCCGGAGCAGGAGUUGUCCCAGGAGCCGAGGCCGGAGCAAGAGCCAGGUCAAGGACACAGGGCAUAUGCUUAGCAGGGACCCUGGAAGUGGUGGCAGUGGGCAGAGCAGUAGCAGCCUGUCCUCGAAAGUGGACCUCUUCAAUGAACUCAAGCAGCUUUUGCAGAGCAAGGGCCUGGAGGACUCCCUGUCUGUGGUGAAGAGAGCCCUCCUCACACAACAGAGUGCUCAGUCAGCCAGCCCCUCUCGAAUGGGGGCUCAGGCCUCAGUCUCCACACAUCUGCCUGAGGCCUACCCGAGGGCUGUGGAAACCCCCGUGGCUAAACUGGAGGUGUCCGACAGCUCGCUCCUCCCUCACGAGAGGGUGCGGCAGGACGGCAGCGGCUUCUCCCGCAUCCUGAGUGUGAUGGGGGAGCCGUGCCCACAGACGCCGGAGGAGCGACGACCGCCGGCCGCUGCCAAAGUCCCAGACAUCGACGACGAGGAGAGGUUCCUGUACGGAGACGAAGGGACCGGUCCCACCCAGCCCUGCCCUCAAAACAUCCCGGUGAAACCAGCGGCCGACGGUCAGACUUCUGCACCGGCAACCCCACUUCAGCAGUUCAAGGCGCUGUUGGGAGAUCCAGGCAUGAGCCACAUUUUCAGGCAGGCCCAGUCGGCGCUGUCUCUGACCGUCCUGAACCAAGGGGCCCAGGAGAAGCACAGCGCCACACCGGAGGUGAAACCGGAGGCUCUGGCACCCAGACCCAGAGCUGGGAGCCUGGACAAACAGAACAGAGAGGGGACGCCGAGCAGUGCAGAGUUUGAGAGGGUCAAGAGCCUCCUGAAGAACAUGGGGUUGUCUCUGAGCACGGCAGAAAUCAACAAGAUUGCUGUCAAGUUGCGUGACACGCCCAAACUCAGGGACCCGAAAUCAACACCGUCGAAGUCCUCGCACGAGUCGUCACAUUCGUCAGUCAAAGGCUCGAAGACGGAGAACGUGGACAGCAGGGCUCGAAGAUCUAGCUCGAAGGACCGAGGGAAUUCCCACAGGGAUAGGGCUGGCGGUCACUGUGAGAAGGAAAGAGAAAGAGAUAGGAGUGACAAACUUGGCAGUGGAACGAAGAGGAAAGAAUACCUGGUGAAAGAACUAGAGAGCAUUUUGAAACAGGAAGGAUCAGGUUGCUUGGUUCCUGUGAUUGGCUUCUACUGCCAGCUAUGUGAGGAGUUCUUUGGUGACCUCGCCAGCGCCCAAGGGCAUGAAGGCUGCCACAAACGCUCCAGCGAGUCAGAAAAGGGACCCCUACCUAAGCUGUACAAUUACACAAUCAAAGGCUCUGGCCAUUUCUCACAGCACUCAACAGGCCCUGGCCACGAGGAGAAGAAACGGCCUGUGGAAGACCGCAAGGGAGCGCACAGAGAUGAGCAUGAACUGAGCCCGGGACACUGGUCCAAAAAGAGGGCCCGAGAGGAGAGUGAUCGCAGGGACGAGAAGGGUGCCGCUGGGCCCGCAGCCCCUGUCAGGGUGAAACUGGAACCAAAAGCCAGGGAGAGGACCCCCUCGGUAGAGGACAGAGAUAAAAAACAAAGUUCAGAUGACUCGGACGAUUCUACCAAAGGCGACAGCGGUAAGAAGAAGAAGAAAAAGAAGGAGAAGAAGAAAAAGAAAAAGAAGAAGGAAAAGAAACUAAAGGAAAAGGCGAGGGGGAAGUCUAAGGUGAAGUCCCCCUAGAUGUUACUCUAGAAGUGUUUUUAGUUUUUUUCCCCCUUUCGUUUCCAUUAAUUUGGGAUAUUCUACAGCAAGAAACGAUAUCCUAGUUUGGUGACUGCACUAGAAGCCAAGUGUUUUUGAUCAACCCAUAGCCUGGAGAUGGCAACAGCAGCCAAUAACAAUGACCUAAAACACCAGAAUCUCACCAGAUCAACAACAAGAAAUCUGGCAGUUAGAAAAAAAAGUAAUGGUGUAGUAGAAUUUUUUCUUGUAGGUUACCAGGAAAAUCCAUGGUCAGUGUAUUACAAUGUAAUCAUUGACAUUCUGUUGAGAAUAUGUUGGCAACGCUUCCAUUCUGAGGAAGUGUGACAAAUUUUGGAAUAUAUUUUGCAAAUAAACACACCAUGUGUUUACCA
rnacentral:lncRNA from 1 species